rnacentral:lncRNA from 1 species
GGAUUGGAUCACACUGUUCUCCCCUGAMAUUAGUGGCAUAGCCUAGAGCUCAACUGGUGCAGUCACUGGAAGGCCCCGGCUCUGGAGGAUGCUGAAGGAGGAAGACGCUGAAGCAGGACGGCCCUGAAGGAGUGACCCCCUUACUCCUCAAACAGACCCAGGUCUCCUCUUCCCAGCCCAGCAGCAUGAAAGCAGCAUGACUGGCCGGCCGCAGGAGAAGCCCCCAGAGCCAGGCCCCCAACUCAGCCCUCUGCUGCCAAAGUCAAGGUGUGAGCAGUGUCUCCUCACCACAGUGGUGUUUGGUCCAUACCUCAGCUCGGGUGAGGAUGUAAAGCCCCGGGCUCUGCAGAUGAGUGGUACAGGCCAAGAGGAACCCCUGGCUCCAGCCUCCUUUACAGACAUGUCAGCCAUGGAGUAGUGUGGACGCUUUCUCUCAGCUUCUCAGGGUUUCCGUCUUUUUGGGUUUUCUUCAUUUACCUUUUUUUAUGGUUUUGUGGCUGGACAU